UACAGAGGUCUCGAGCGUUGUUCGGAUUCAUUGGGCGUAAAGGGUGCGUAGGUGGUGGGGUAAGUCGGAUGUGAAAUCCCGGGGCUCAACCCUGGAACUGCAUUCGAUACUGCCUUACUUGAGUACUGGAGAGGAGAUUGGAAUUUACGGUGUAGCAGUGAAAUGCGUAGAUAUCGUAAGGAAGACCAGUGGCGAAGGCGGAUCUCUGGACAGUUACUGACACUGAGGCACGAAGGCCAGGGGAGCAAACAGG
rnacentral:rRNA from 1 species